rnacentral:rRNA from 1 species
CCUACGGGAGGCAGCAGUGGGGAAUAUUGCACAAUGGGGGAAACCCUGAUGCAGCGACGCCGCGUGAGUGAAGAAGUAAUUCGUUACGUAAAGCUCUAUCAGCAGGGAAGAAACACUGACCUUACGGUCAGCAGACGGUACCUGAGUAAGAAGCCCCGGCUAACUACGUGCCAGCAGCCGCGGUAAUACGUAGGGGGCAAGCGUUAUCCGGAUUUACUGGGUGUAAAGGGAGCGUAGACGGUGCGCCAAGUCUGGAGGGAAAUGCCGAAGCUUAACGGCGGAACUGCUUUGGAAACUGGCGAACUAGAGUGCGGGAGGGGUAAGCGGAAUUCCUAGUGUAGCGGUGAAAUGCGUAGAGAUUAGGAGGAACACCGGUGGCGAAGGCGGCUUACUGGACCGUAACUGACGUUGAGGCUCGAAAGCGUGGGGAGCAAACAGGAUUAGAUACCCGGGUAGUC